GACGAACCGUGCGAACGUUGUUCGGAAUCACUGGGCUUAAAGGGCGCGUAGGCGGGCAAGCAAGUCCGGGGUGAAAUCUUUCGGCUCAACCGGAAAAGUGCCUUGGAUACUGCUUGUCUGGAGGGAGGUAGGGGCCCGUGGAACUUCCGGUGGAGCGGUGAAAUGCGUUGAUAUCGGAAGGAACGCCGGUGGCGAAAGCGACGGGCUGGAUCUCUACUGACGCGUGGAGGCGACGGAAAGCCCAGGGGAGCAAACGGG
rnacentral:rRNA from 1 species